CUAGGGGAGUCACUGUCUUUCCAACAUCAGGAGAGUGGCUGGCAGAGCGGAAAGCUGAAAGGACACGCAGCCUUUAUGGCACAGUUGAACCUCUGAGUUAGCCAACCCUGAAAUCACUGUACCUUUGGACUUGGCCGUCUCCAUAGGUAGGGAUAAGGAAGAAGAGGAAUCUCCUGCAUUUGUAGUGAGACAUGAGCCUUGGAGGUGGACUUGGGCUCAGUCACCCAUGGUGGGGUCAACACUGCUGCUGACCAGAAGGCAGCUGGAUUGUCAAACUGGACCGUGGAGUGAUAAAUCACAGUGGCAUUGGCUUGUUUCCCUGUUUGUCUUCUUGUAUCUUUGCCAUUUUGAAGUCCUCUUCUGUGAUGUGCAGUUAAAGCCUGUGGACUUCUUUUCAACAUUGAGAUACCUGUAAUCCUCUUACCAACCUGUGGAGAGUAUUUACAGACACAGCACGUGUUGUGCAUGCUUGAAGUCUGAAGAGGUCAGAAGAGGCAUGAGAUCCCCGGGACUGAUUACAGAUGGCUAUGAGAUGCCAUGCGGGUGCUGGGAACUGAACACAGGUCCUGUGCAAGAGCUCGUCUCGUGCUCUUAAGCCCCGAUCGAUCGGUCUCUUCAGCACCUAGAGAAACGGAACUUCGUGAACGCGUGUGGCGAGAGCAUUAAAUAGACACCAGCUCUCCUGUGUUCUG
rnacentral:lncRNA from 1 species